CUCUCAUUCAACUGAGGAAAUUUAAUAUACCUCUUCCAAGAGACUGCCUAGAUGAGAAAAAAAUCAGUGAAGAAGUCCAUUAUACCGUUCAUCAAAUGGAUCUUUAUGAGGAUACUGGAGAUGUGAUUUGUGGUGCUAUUUAGGAUACGUUGCAUACCACAUUAUUAUAAAGUUCAGGAAUAAUGCCCCAAAUCAUAUAAUGGUUAUAGAAUCUGUGUAUUACUUUUUGAUUCUCCGUUCCUUGACAUGUUUCAGAGAACAGCCUCAUUUUUAAUGGCUCUUUAUCACAGGAAAAUGGAAGUGGAAUGGCAGUGGAAGAGGCAACUACUUGAGCAUCUUGCAGUGUCUUCUAAGGAUGAUACGUGAUUGCUAUUCAUUCACCUGUGGCACUCUGGAAAAAGCAGAAUCUUGUGGGAAGACUCUGGACUUGGCAGUCUUGAUGGCAACUGGGCUUUCAGAAAGGGAAAACAGGACUGUAUUGUUCCCAAUAUGUGGGUACAUACUUUUGGAGAAUACACAUCACCCUUGGAUAUGCAGUAAUUGCUUUCUGAACAGUUUCCAUUUGCUCUGUGUCCUUCCUUCCUCCCACUCCUCCCAUUAGACGCUUAACCGACUGGAUCCUCUCCAGCACUUCCCCAUUCUUCUACAUUCAAAGUCCUUGGGGGUUUUUAUUCCUCUUGCAGGUUCAGUCUGCAGUAAUGAAUCCAACUGGAUUAUGGUCAUUAGUGAGUCCUCCACCUCUGUCUCCUAACAGCUGCACUGUUGAAAGUCAGAACUUUUGUCUUUUUUUGCCACCUUUUAAUACAUUGAGGAUAUGGUACAUGACUGUUACUUGAUUUAUUUCUCUCUUUGUGUCCCUGUUCCUGUGUGUCUGGCUAGCUGAAAUCUCCUCUUAUUAGUUUUGACAUUUUGCUAUAUCUCAUAAUCUUCUUGUUCUUUCUGAUGGUAUUUUUUCUAGUUUAUACCCAGUCCGUACUGCCACCUCACUCCCCCUAUUGUCUCGAAUUUUGAGCCGUGAUGAUCCUGUCAAACAACUGCAAAAACUUUUGCCUUCUUCAAAGUUUCAGCCUGUCAGAAAGAAAGAGUUUUGAAGUAAGCCAUUACAACCUGAGCGGUGUCUGGCUUAGCAGAGCACUUUCUCUCACCUGCAGCUCCCUCCUGCAGCGUUUCCAGAGCUCUGGCCCCAAAUCAAGCAAUCAAGUACACGCUUAAGUUCAGUCAUGUGAGGAGCACUGUUAACCCAAUAGGGCUACUUAUGUGCUUAAAAUUGGCAUGGGAUUAAAAGCUUUGGCAAUUCAAAAUAUUGGAGCUGUGAUUUUAAUGCAGCUGGGUUAAUGAAGACUCUACAUCCCUGUGAUGGGAAGGGUGCACGGUAACUCGCUCUGGUAGACAUUCAAGUGUGAAGGCAGAGAAUUCAAUCCCACACCUAGGUCUUAAUAAUGUGUGUCUGUGUGCAUUUGCAUACACACACAGAGUUGUAGGGAGUACAGCACUGUAUUUGCAAACAUCGAGAUUGUAAAAGGAAAUGUAAAGAGUCUAAGCCUUAUUCAUUGCCUAUAGAUGCACUAAGAAAUUCCCAUUGACUUUAGUAGGCACAGUUUGGGGACUGAGACAAAUACUGUGACAGCAUUUAUCAAACAGCUCCAUACCAUGGACGUAUCUCUCACUGCAGUUUAACUUUAUGUGUCUUAUACCUUAUGCACUAACUUUACAGAGAGCAGUAGGUUGAGUAAACAUCCUUAUUCUGGAUUGCGCCUGAAGUAAUGUUUAAUGAAGCAUGUGUAAAUCGUUCCAAUUUUCCUAUCCUUCAUCCUACCUCUUGCUCAGAAUCUUUAAACAUUAGAGUCCUAAUCCUACUAAGCAUUUAAAUAAUUAUGUAUCAGCCUCUUCCAUCAUAUAUGACUUAGCAAAUGGUGGUUUUGUCUAUUGUAUUCCAGGUGUAGGGUGAAUAUUGUCAAAACUCCUAUCCAUAUGAGACAAGGAUGUUUGUUCUAAUCCAUCUCUUGUAGUUUUCAGUGAUGUUCUGCAGAAAACUAAAUCACCUCUGAAAACUGAAUUCUCUGGGUGAAAUUACGUAUUGUCACAUUCAUUUUGUUACAAAUGUAUAUAUCGGCUUAGAUUUAUUUUAGCAUGGCCUUAUGCUUUCCAAAUUCAGGUUUUAAAGGUUCACUCUGAAUAGUAUCUCAGAAAAAUGCAUCUGAAGAGACAGUUGGAUCUCAUUUAUAAGCGUCUCGCACUUUCUGCCUUAUGCCAUAAUAAAUGUUCUUGACUGUAAGAUUUUAGAUGAGAUCAAUUGUACUUCCAACUUAUCCCCUUCUCUAUUGUCAAGUCUGGGAAAAAAGAAAAAGAUGAUUUCUU